rnacentral:lncRNA from 1 species
UUACACUGUUACCCUCUGAACUUUUGGCGAAGUUUCACUUUACCCCACGAACUCCUAAAAUGGACAUCUAACCUCCUAAACUCUAGUAUUUCGUUCAUGUUACCCCUUCCGUCAGUUUUUCGUCAAGCUCCGUUAAUCGGAAACUAACGGAAGGGGUAAAACGAAUGAAAUAUUAGAGUUUAGGGUGUUAGAUGUCUAUUUUAGGAGUUUGGGGGGUUAAGUGAAACUCGCUAAAAGUUCAGGAGGUAAUAGUGCAAUUUACUCCGUAGGGGACUCUUGACUAUAAAUUAUUUUGUUAUAAUAUGUUACUUAUGGAUUGACUAUUAAUCCUCAAUUUAGUGAUCAUGCUUGAUUUUGAAUUUAUAUAUAUUUUUUAUUCUAAAAUAAAUUAUACCAUAAUUUAUCCUAUAUUUUAUUAUAAUAAAAUAAAAGUGAAAGAAAUGAAUUAGAGUGACUUAAAGAUAAAAAAAGAGCGAUACUAACUACUUACGAUGCUCGAAUACUCUACUAUCCUGGUGUACUCGCUAAUAUGGUUGAUUUACAAUAGGUGUCCUCACUCGGAUAUAGAGAUUUUAAUUCUUAGUUAAUUUUCUAUAGUACUCGUUUGUCUCUUUUAUCUUUAGAAGUAUUGUUCUAUAAAAUACACUUAAAUAAAAUUUUUGUACUUUAUUUCAGCCAAUUAAAAAUUUUUAAUAUAAAAAUAUAAAAAUAAUUUAUAGUAAAAAUUUGGGUGAAUUGUAUUGUUAUCCCCUGAACUUUUCGCGAGUUUCACUUAACGACUCCUAAAAUAGACAUCUAACACCCUAAAUGAUAAUAUUUAAUUCGUUUUAUCCAUUCCGUCAGUUUUCAGUUAACGGAGCUUGACGGAAAACUGAUGGAAGGAAUAAUAUGAACGAAAUAUUAGAGUUUAGGAGGUUAGAUGUCCAUUUUAGAAGUUCGAGGAGUAAAGUGAAACUUCGCCAAAAGUUCAGGGGGUAACAAUACAAUUUACCCUAUAUGCCUAUAUAACGCUAGAUAAAAUAGAGUUGUGGAAAAAACAUAUAGGGAUAUGUUUUUGCGUUCUUCAGUGGAACCGUAAAAAAUAUAUUGUAACUGACCUAUAUUCGUUUUAUCCCUAUAUGCUUUUUCUACAACUCUAUUUUAUCUAGCGUUAGAUAGGUCUCAAUACCAAACUAAACCUAAGUGAAUGAAAAUAGGUCAAAAUGGUUAUAAAGCCACUUAUUUAUGGAUAAUAAAAUUUUAACCAAGUCAAUGAGUUAUAGGCAGAGGAAGCUUGACAAGAAAACCACUUUUUAACAGAUUAAUCAUAACCGUUCAUUCUUAUUUGAGAUUUUUUUAAUUAAGUGAUCAUACCUAGUCGUGAAAAAUAUAAGGAAUAUUCUUUUAUUCCUUUUUGGAUUCUUUUAUAGAUAGAUAAGAAUGCUAUUUUUUAACAGAUUAAUUAUAACCGUUCAUUCUUAUUUGAGAUAUUUUUUUAAUUAAGUGAUUAUACCCGUUCGUACCCGCCCCUAGAAAAUAUAGGGAAUAUUUUUUUAUUCCUUUUUGAAUUCCGCCUGUCGUUGUCGGAAUUCCUAUACGCUUUUAUAUAUAGUAUAGAUAUGCAAAAGAAUUAAUUGAUCAACUUGCAUAAAAUUCUAACUUGACAAAAUUAUAUGAUUUAGUCUCUAUUAUAAAUAUAUUUUUUAUUUUGUAAAUUUGGCAUAAUGGAUGUACUUAGAAUAUUGGGCAUAUUUGGGACUAAAAUUUUAUGAGAGAGAUAUUUUUUGUACUCUAUUUUGAUUAUAAUAAAAGUUUCCGUUUAGUUUCGUCCUCAGACGUAGACUAAUAACUGAACCACGUAGAUAUUUAUUUUAUUUUUUCUUUUUCUUGAUUUUUUUAAAUAUUUUUACAGCCUACAAUUCAGAUUUUUUUUUCAAUUUUAUCAUAACAAUUUUUAGUGCUAAGAAUCUUAUGUUAGCUCCUCGUCAUUGUAAGAAAUAAAAGUUACUGCAGCAAGUAUUAUUCCUUUACUAUAUGGAAGCGCAAUUUCUUUUUUUUAUUUUUUUGAAAGAAAGGUAGAAUGCUACCCGCUUCGUUUAUUUUAUUUUAGAAAAAAACUUAGUUGGAAAUGUGAAUCAAUUAGGAUUCGAACUUGGGUUUCGGAUACCAACCACCAAGUUCUUUGCCAUUUGCUCUAGAGACGGUCGGUAUGGAAGCGCAAUUUCGUCACCUACAAAAGUGAAGCUGAAAUUGAGCGUCGGGUCCAAACUCCCAACAUCCAACCUCUUCUGACUCCCGGUGAAACAAACAUCCGCUUUUGCUUUUACAAGAAACGAUUGUUUCAAAUCAUUUAAAAGAUUUCUAACUCUCAAUUUAUAUUCAGGAUCUUACAUUAGCUUCUUGUCACUAGGAGAAACUUUACGCCUUUUUGUCAAUAGCUAUCGCGGCAACUAUAUAUUAUUAUUCGAAUUAAACAUGCAAUAAAUCUAAUGACCCAAACAAGAGAAUCUCUCCCCCAGUAGUGAAUGUGAGUGCAACAUGACCUCAAACCUAUAUUUUUGUUUUUUAAAAAAAAGUUGUGUGUUUUGUCUCUCAAACUUUCCUAUUUUCAUUUGUCAUUUAGGAAACCCAUGUUUUCACUUGUCAUUUAGGAAAACCCAGUUUCUUCCAAUUCCCACAGGUGGCAUCAUAACACUCUGAAUGAGGCAAUUGGACUCUUUUUUUUGUGAAGUUCUCGGACACUUCACAUUGGAGUAAUACUACAGAAAGGGACGUGGUUAGAUGAGGCACAUCAAUUAGGAGGAGGAGUAAAUAAAACGGGUGGUAAUAUUAACAGAGUCAUAUUUAUUAUCUUAGUGUUGGCUUAAAAGAGGCAAAUCGUUUGUUUGAAGUGGCGGAAGGUCGGAUUGAAUCGAGCCACAAUCGAAAUUCACAUGUAUUGUAUCUGUAUAUUUCUAACGGCUCGAGUUUUUGAAAUUAACGAUCUUACAUAUACAAAUAUUAGCUCUAAUUCAGCCGGUUAAUAAUAGUAACCAAAUUUAAUUUUGGAUUUUCACAAUGUCGCUGCCCAAAAAAUAAUGUUCAGAAAAACAUAAAGAUGUUUACUUAUGCCUUGAGACGCCAUUAUUAAUGACCCAUUUUAAUAGUGGGGAACGCUUUAAACAAAUGAGCCGCCCUAGAAAACUUGGGACCUGCGGUGACCGUUAUCUCGUCACCUCUCUUUAAAUAUCGUGCGUGUGGGAGCCGCCCCUUUCUUCGCGCCAUUUUUAAAAUCCUCUCCUUUGUCCCUUUCGUCGUCCCCAUCAAAUCCCCAAUACGCAUCACCCACGUCCACGUCUCUUACUCUAAUCAAUGGAGUUAUACACCCCCCUCCCUCUUCAAUAUAAAUAUAGCAGGAAUAGUAGGAGAAAGAGACUAGGGCUAAUUCUUUUUGUUUUGAGCACCAAACAUGAAAGGAAUGAGGUGGGUGGAGGAGGGAAUCAUGGAGAAGAAGAGGUAUAGGAACGGUAGAAUUUGGAAUUUUGAGAUGGCGAGGGAGGCGGACGGAGGAGGCGGCGGCGGCGAGGUUAUCCUUGGCCUCGACGGCGGCACCACCACCACCGUGUGCGUGUGCAUCCCCGCCGCCGCGCCCUUAUCGGGUCGCGCUGGCGAGCCCCUCCCUAUCCUCGCACGAGCCGUAGCCGGUUGUUCGAAUCACAACUCCGUUGGAGGUUAAGAUCCUAAAAUGCCCAUUUGUAGAAAGAAAAAGAAUAAAGUUUUAAUCUUUGAUGAGUUUUGGGUUUUCGUGGUUUCGAUUUAUGAUGAUUAAAUUAGAGUACAUUUGUGAUAACAUCAAAACACUAAAAAUGAGAUUUUUUUUUUAAUCUUUUUAAACCUUGGAAAGAAAGGCUAAAGUUAUUAGCUUUCCACAAAACUCGAUUUUAUCAUCCUUAAAAAUCGUUUUAUGUUUUGAAAAUUCUCAGAAACCAGGGCGAGAGAGACACUCGAGAAGGUUAUGGCUCAAGCGCUUUUACAGGCCGGCUCUAAUCGCUCUGCGGUAUCCGCUGUUUGCUUAGCUGUAGCCGGUGUGGAUCAUCCGAUCGAUCAACAAAGGCUAUUGAAUUGGCUCAGGUUCGCUCUUUAACUGUAACAUAAAUCCCCCUUUUAUCUGCUGAUCAACCUUUUCUCUUGCUAUAUUCAGUGUAAUACAGUGAGGUUAUGUCUGUUUCUAAUCUGCUGUUCUACUAAAUCUUAUUUUUGUAGAGAAAUUUUCCCGAGCCACGUCAAGUUAUUCGUACAGAACGAUGCUGUCGCGGCUUUGGCCAGCGGAACCAUGGGCAAGCUCCAUGGUUGUGUGCUAAUUGCGGGGACGGGUACUAUCGCUUACGGGUUCACUGAUGAUGGAAGAGAAGCCCGAGCCGCAGGAGCUGGUCCAAUCUUGGGUGACUGGGGAAGGUUGGUUUGCUCAUUUCAAUCCUUAGAUACACAUAUUCAUUUAUGUGGGAAAAGAAAAAAAAUUGUUUGCAUUUAAUGCGCGAAAAGGUAUGAUUCAUGUGGCAUGUUAUUUAGGAUGGCAUGUUGUGAUAUGAAAUCAUGAUUGUUUGCAUGUAUGAAAUGCAGUGGAUACGGAAUUGCCGCACAAGCGUUAACAGCCGUAGUUAAAGCUCACGACGGGCGUGGCCCUCAAACGUUGCUUACGCAUAACAUGCUUGAAAUUCUGAGUCUCUCUUCGCCAGAUGAACUAAUCGGGUAUAUUUCUUUCUAACCAUAUCUUUUCUUUAUCUGACAGCAUGUUCUUGACAGUAAAGCCGAUGUUUUCAUCCUUUUUUAUACUAGAAAUAGUUAUAAUUUUAGACAUGUUCAUAAGCUGUGAACUCCCUUUUAUGUAAUUUCUCGAACAGGUGGACAUACGAAGAUCCUUCCUGGGCCCGCAUUGCUGAUCUUCUACCAGUAGUGAUAUCCUCUGCUGAAGCUGGCGACGAAGUUGCAAAUAACAUUCUACAUAAUUCGGUCGCAGAGUUGGCCGAUAGCGUCAAAGCUGUUGUCAGAAGACUUGGUUUGAGUGGUGAAGGUGCGAAAAAAAAAAAGAAGCAACAUUCCUCUGGACUUGAAAUCAAAUUCUCAAUCACCCUCAUUCUUUUUGUUUUUUCUUAUUUUUCUGUCGCAGACGGAAAAGAUCCAUUCCCGCUUGUCAUGGUGGGGAGAGUUCUUGAAGCGAACGAGAGUUGGGAUAUCGGCAAGGAAGUGAUAGAUUGUAUCACCAAGAUAUAUCCAGGAGCUCAUCCCAUUCAUCCCAAAGUGGGUAAAUUUUGAUCAACAAGAGAAGUUUGAUAAAUGAAACAUUAUGUGCUUCUCUGAAUCUUUCUGUUUUUUCUUGGUGUGAUUAGACAGUAAAAGAGCACAUUCAAUUGAGAGGAUAAAUCAAAUCUGAAAUUCUGAUGCACAAUGCCUUUUUUGCCUCUGCAGGUGGAACCAGCUGUUGGUGCAGCUCUGUUGGCUUGGAAUUUUGUUAUGGAUGAGUUAUACUGCCAAAUUGCAAGUGAUAUUUAGUCCAUAGUUUCAGCUGGGAAGAUCUCCAGGUUAAUUUUUAGAAGAUUUGUCGCAGUUUGUAUUCCCCCCCUCUAGUGUCUGAUCUUUUUAGAAGGCUGUGUAGUAUCUUGUAUUCUUCAUUAAUUUACUUUAAUAGGGCGUAAAAUUAUGUUCAGUGAAUAUUUAAUGCAAGUGUAAUGAGGGCAGAGUUUGCUUGUUUGCACCUAAAAGAGUGCACAUCCUAUUAUAUUUUCAUGCUUGUGAAUAGCUGAAAUUGUUUCUGAGUUGAGGUUUAGGGUUUCACAUUACUAACUGCUUAAUUCACUAUUUGAAUGGAGAGAAGGAGAGAGAGAAGAAAAGAGAGAAAAGAAGGAAAAAUAAUACUGUGACAAGCUCUUUUCUCCUCAUAUUUUCUAAAUACCCAAACACUGGAAUAGAAAUUUAUUUUCCUUUCUUUUCUUUUCUCUUCUCUCCCAUUCUCUCCAUUUGAGAAAUAAGCCACAAUUGAUUGCAAACUCCACAAAACUAGUCAUUCAUAAAACUGCACAAAUAUCUGCAGAAGCCAAAAGGAGAAUACAAUUUGCCAUUUACACUCUACACAGCUUGAGCCAAAACGUAGAAUACAUGUGUUAAUGCCAACUCUAAGCAUUACCUCAAACGAAAAAAAAAAACAAAAGGGGGAAAAGAAAAAAAAAGAAAUCAUUGACAACUGUGAACCGGGUUCUCAAAGUUUUCGGCUCCUCGAAAGCCUCGGCAGGUUAAUAUGGUUCAGAAUCAUCAGCAAUCUAAAAAAGGAAGUCACUUCCGCGAUGCUCAAAUAUGCUAUAUCCGAUGUAUGUUCCAUGUUGAAUUACAUCGAACCUAUGCUUUCACCCUUCAACUCUCUUUGGACUAAUUUUAGAACCUCCAUCACCUGCAAAAAUGUUGAAAGAUGUCUUCAUAAGCAAUUAAAGAGUUUAGCACCCUUGCGCAAAACAUGGAAGAAAUAAUUAAUUCUACAAUUAAAGAUAAAGAAACACUAAACAGAGACAGCUCACCCCAGGAUAAUGUUGUAACACCGGAGAAUAAUGAUCGAGCGCUAUGUAUAUCUUUCCAAGAAGACUAAGAAGAGAAUCAACUUCAUCCCCCAGCAGAUCAACCUGAGUGAAAUAUAAGAUAUAAAACAUAUCAAUGUUAUCAAAUUGAGAAAGUAUACGUCAGUUUAAGUCAGAGAACCAUGCCAACAUUGUUUUCACAAGAUUAGGGAUACCCAAAUUGAACAGGCGUGCAAAAUUUGGUUAAAUACGGAAGAACCUCUAAGCUAUUUAAAAUGGCCGAUGGAGACAAUAUAUUCUCGCCUAUUUACUUCGCAAUUUCAGAAAGGAAAUCUUUCGAGGACUAAGAGUAAACUUGUUUGUCCAGAUCUAAAUGAACACCAUCUAACAUCUAUUGUUCCCUCUCAUGUAAGCCCUCUUCCCAGUUUCCACCAUAGUUAUGAAAUAUACUUGUUUUCGUCCAAUGUUUUGCUUUUAAAAAUGUAAUCUAAGGAAAUGUGACAAGAUAUAGACAAAAGGAAGAGUAAAAGCAAGACCGACGACAUAGAGGCAACCAUCUAACCAGAAUCAGAGUAUCAUACCUCCGCUUCAGCCUUCUGAAGGUCAGAACAUCUUAUCUCAAGCAUUUGUUUAUACCAGAGUACCUUUUUCUUUAGCACGACGGCUUGUUGGACCAGUGGCCUGCACCGAUGGCUCAGUGUUUUUAACCUGCAAUUGCUUGAAAUUUCAGCCUCUACAAUUACCGGAAAAUGGACCUAGAUGAAAUAUGUUACAAAUUCAAGUCUAUUUGAGUAUAUGCAACUUAUAUUAACCUUGUUGAGAUUACUUUGAUUUAUUACAAGAUGAAAGAGUUUAUUUGCACUGCUAAUAUGUGAAUGAUAUUUUAAGUUGCCCAAGAAAUUAAUUAUAACUUACCCAAUAUUUUAAGUAACAAAAAAGAUAAGUCCGGGAAGAAGGUUCACAGAUUCAUGAUAUCUGGAGAACCGAAAAUUUCUUUAGGUCACUUAUGAAUGGAACUACUACUAAAAAAUAAACCUGUUUUUUAGAAACAUUUUAUGACUCAAAUCCUAAAACCUACUCUCUUGUCUAGAAAAGCUACUAUGUUCAAGUCAGUGAUAAUCAAGAAUAGUGGACAAAGACAUUAAAAUGAAAAUAAGCACCUGUUUUCAUUUCUUCUGAUCUUCUCUUGCAUUUUGUUUUUGAAAUCAUCGAAUGCUUUUGACAUCUCAGCCAUAGCGAACAUACUGCAUUCUAACCACUUCACUUGCUCCUUGUCCUUCAAAACAGAUGAUGAUAAUGUCCUUUGCUUCUCCUCAACAAUACCACAAAGUAGGAGGUUUUGUUUUUCUGCUUCAUCCAAAGCAUUUGUAGUGGUAUUUAAAUCUUGCUUCUGUUUACUUAUCUCCAAUUCAUAAUCAAGAACUAGCUGGAAUGCCUCAUCCAAUUGAGUUUUCAUUGAAUCUGAGUCCUUCCUAAAAUCCGAGAUCAACUUCUCCUGCUUGCCUACUUGAUCUCUAAGAAUGUUAAGGUCAUGGCAUACUAUGUCAUAUUGCUCCUUUUGCUGAAUCAACGAAGACCGUGCCUCUAAUGCUAAUUGAUCCUUUUCGUUAAUCAAAACCGACAAAGAUGUGGUCUCCUGCUUCAUCCUCUGGUUCUCUUCAUUUGCUAAACUUAAUGCCUUUUCCUUUUCCAAAAGCGUCUCCUUUAGAGAAGCUUUUUCAUCAAAAUAUUUUUGCAUAGCAGGAUUUCUAGGUGAUAAAGCUUCACAGAAAACUCCUUGCAGCAAAAUGGAAUAUGUCACCUGCAUAAUAUUGUUCUGGAUCUCUAUAUCCUCCAUGAAGCAACUGUAAUCAUUGAAAAUUCCUCUUAAAAUAGAGCGGUCUACUACAUCUUUAACAUUACCUUCUACCUUCAAGUCCUCCACUUCACCUUUAAGAUUCUUAACUUGCUUCAAAAGUGUAGCCUCCAACGACGAAUGAAGAGACAUCUUACUCGCUGCAUCUGAGACCUGCGAUGAUAGGUGCUUAACCUCUUUUCUUUUAUCCGAAAGCAAGCUACGGAGAUGCUGGUUUUCAAAAAACAGGGACUCAUUUCUGUCCUUCAAUCUACAUAUUUCUUCACAGUCCUUACUAAUCACAGGAAAGUCUGCACUGUUAAAGACUAUUUCAUCCAGCUUUGAAACAACUUCGGACACUUUUCUCCUAACCAGUUCAAACUCUUUGUCUUUUCUAAAAGGCACCGUGCCCUUCUCCUUGUGGAAUUCUCGCUUGAGUCGAAAGAGCUCUUCGGUCUUCUCUUGCAAUGCUACGUCGUGUUGUCUCCUCAACUUGGUCAUUUCUGAAAUAAAGAACUUCAUUAUUUCUUCACUUGGCUUGUGCUUUAGAUAUAAGAAAUCAGCAACAUCUAACACGAAAUCAUCAGAGUUAACAGAUUUCACAGCCUCGAGAUUCCCGUUUUCCACCUGAUGCGAUGGAAUACCCUCUCCAUCGUUCCUUUUGAUAACAUUCACUUCUUCGAAACUCUCACGGCUACUAUGAGUGAAAAGCAUACCCAUUUCUGAACCUAUCAAUGACGUAGAAAUAGCAUCAAGUUCUUUACGCAAGGUAGUAAAUUCCGUGAUCUUUUUGUGCCACCUCAGAUUCAUGGUUUCGAUAAGACCCUUUUGCUCAUACAAUUUUGCCUCAAACUCAUGAUGAAGGCCUCUUAUAUAAUCAUGAAUCAUGGUACUAGUGACUUCUUUUCGGAACUCGUGCUCCCACUGGUGCUCAAAGAUUAACACUUUAAUCAUACCAAACGCAUCACUUAUUUGUUCCAAUCCGGACGACAGUAUUAGUCUCAACCCAUCAAUCCUUUCAUCGAUCUCAACUAAUCUUUUGUUAGUAUCUACUUCAGCGUGAAUUUUCUCACUCGAAUAGCUGUCUCUUAAAUCUGCAAUAUUCUCCUUAAGCCUUUGAAACUGCUCUUCUGCUGCAAUCCUCAGUGUAGCGACAUGAUCGGUGUUAGUAAAUUCUUCCGCGCUUGCGUCUAAAAAUCCUUGACGCGACCGUGAUUCCGUCCUGUCGAUUCCCGCAUUCAUCAAGCUGCGUUUAGGAAUCAUCGAAAUUAUCCCCAAUCUGUCGUCUAAAUCCGCAUUAGACUUACAGGAAAGCAGAGUCUUGUUCAAUACAGCUAUCUCCGCCUCCUUCGUCGCAAUCUUCUCCGCAGCCUCCUCAACCACGGCAUUCACCAUUCCUUUGGUAACCGAAUCGCUCACCAUCCUCAUCACAUUUAGACGAUCGUUGAGCUCGUCCCAGUAAGAUUCCAAAUCAUCAAGGAUAAACUUCUCAUAAAAAGCUGAAUCGUUCGCUGUAUUAUUGUCCCCUUCUUUAAAGCUAGUACUUAAUAGUUUACACUCAUUAAGACCAACAAUCUCAUUCAACACCUCAGAGUUAUCACUUUGUGCCUGCAUGUAGGACCGGAAAAAUCUAAAAAGAUGGAAAAUUUGGGAAAAUUAAGAGUAAAAAUGUCUGAUUUUGAGUUGCAUAUGGUAUACAAGAAGCUUAUUUUUCUCUUACUACAUAAUUUUGAUGAAGAGAAUAGAGAAAAUUACUACUUUUACAGUUACCACGAGAUCAAACUCCCAAAACAACACGCACAAUUCUGAGAAGAGCAAAAUUAAAUUAAAAACACAAGGGAUUAAACAAUUUUUAAUGACUCGACCACUGAAACUUUUGGGCAAAAAUGGGUUAAUCGGAAACAAAUUAAUUCCCAAGCAAACAAAUCAAAAUACUCACAAAUUGGAUCCGCUCCAUGAGCGGAGCGGAUGCGCACGAACGAUUCCACUUCGAAAUUCCCGCCACAACCGUUGCCGAAGCGCGAAAGCCCUCGUCUUUUUUCCUUGGUUGGUACGAGACUUAUCUCCGAACAGUGGAGGAGCGGCAAAAGGACGAAUCUUUUUGCGGAAAAGCCCUUCAAAUUUUCUUUUUUGGGUGUUGCGGGGGAGACUUUUAGGCAGUGUUUGGUUGGCAGGAUAAAGUGGGUUUAGACCAUUUUAUCCUGCUAAACCUUCCAAACAGUGCAGUUUUUUGGUGGGAUAAUUAAUCCCGCUCUUAACGGGUUAUCCUUGGAUAACCCGUUAAGAGCUAACCCCUGGGACCAGCGGAAUAGGGCAUUUCCGCUGGUUUAUCCCAGGGGCAUGGGUUGGAAAAAGCUGCGAUGCCCCUUCUCCUUCUUCUUCGUUAUUGCUCUUCACCUACCUUCGCCUCUUCUUCUUCGUUAAUGCUCUUCACCUACCUCUCUCUUCGCUCAUUACUCCGCCGAUCUCCCUCCCCCUCGUGUUGGGCGAGCAUAAACCAUCGCUUUAUGCCUCUUUUGUCAUUUCGCAGUCAGCAUAAUCAAUGAGCGAGAUCUUGUAUCAGAUCUGCGUUCAUCGGUAACUCCUCUUUGCCCUUUACUUUCUUCUUCUAUACUCCUCUCGCAGUCUGUGAGGAAGAUCCCAGUUGAGAUCUGUUUUCUUUUGUAUCCCCUCUCUCAAACCCUCGGAUUUGACUGGUAUAAAUUGGUUUUUCCUUCGCUCAAAAUCUGUUGUGGGCUUCUGAGGCAAGAAAUCGAGGUGGGUUCUGCAGGAUGUAUGCCCUGUGUUGUCAAGUCGCCCAUUUAGUGCGACCACUAGCCUUGCAGGUAGAAGGCAUGGACUAUUUGUGCCNUGUGAUAAUUUUUUACAUUUGAAGGGGUAUAUAUGAUAUUUUCAAUUUUAUAGGGGUAUUUACGAUAUUUAGAUAUUUAAGAGGGGUAGUGGUGAAAUUGCCCCUUAUAUAUAUAUAUAUUUUUUUAAAAAAAAGACAAAAAAAGAGGGGAGGAGCGUAUCGAUGUAGGGGCGAGAUUUACGGAACUGCUACUCUAAUAAUAAAAUAAAGGAAAAACUUUCUAUUUCUUAUUUUAGUAUUAUAUGAUUUAAAGUGUAUCAAGUUAGUACCUUAUAAUUUUAUAGUUUCUUACUUUAGUACCCUGUGAUUUAAAAUGUAUCAAGUUAGUACUUGUGAUUUCGCACUUUCUCACUUUAAUACUCUAUAAUUUAAUAUUUCAUUAAGAAAAAAAUAAAAUCACAGAAUACUAACUUGAUAUAAAAAUAAAACUACAGAGUACUAAUUUGAUAAACUUUAAACCACAAAAUAUUAAAAUGAAAAAGUGCGAAACCAUAAAGUGCUAACUUGAUACACUUUAAAUUAUUGGGUACUAAAAUAAAAAAGUGCGAAACACAUGGAAGUUUUUGAAGUUUUUCCUAAAAUAAAGUUAUUAAUGAUAUUUUGGUUUAAUUAUU